rnacentral:lncRNA from 1 species
UCUAUAGAACCCAUUGAUGAACAAAGGCGAUCAAAAAGAUGAGUUUUAUAUAGGGGCCACAGCCAGGAAUCUCAGGACUAGAAUAGAAGAACACAAGAAAGAUAUGACAAACGCUAACUUGAAUACUGCACUAGCACGGCAGGCCUAUGAGAAAAAUGUGAAAAUAAAGUGGAAAGAAAGCAAAAUCAUAGAGUUGACAACAGAGAGGAAUUCUAUAUUGCAGAAGCUGUCCAGAUCUAUAAGGGGCAAAAAGAAACAGGGCUUAUCAAUGACAGACAGGCAGAUACCUGCUAAAAUAAGGACUUUAUAACGACGACUUUGUUUUUAUUAAUAAUUUUUAUUUUAUGUAGUGUAUUUAUACAUCCUAUGGUAACUCUAAAUUGCGAAAAAUUUUGCGGACAUUUUUCCUUAGAAACCUAAGAAGAAAUUUUUUAAAAAAUUUGAAUUUAUAUUUAGAAUAAUUGUAUUCCAUAUGUUCUAUUUGUGUUCAAGAAAUCUUGUAUUCAGAGAGCUGAUGAGGGCAAAAGCCGAAAGUGCUCCUCUUGAAAAUAAAUGUGUGUUUUUUUAGUAUAUGACU